CACGCACGCAGGCGCGCAUCAGAGCGGGGCGGUCCGGCUUACUGACCGCUGUGAGCUCUGUAUUUGGUUGCCGUUGCUGAAUGAUCUGCGUGAGUCAAGAGUUGUGUUUCUUGCUGUUUUCCAAGGCUGAGGCAGCAGGACUUAAAAAAGAGGGUUUAUCUAAUUGCAUGAAAAGAAAUGAAGUGCUGAACCCAGACUCCUUAUUAGAAGCUUUGUGUGGAUCGUUUAUCACAAACUGCUGUCCAAAACUGCAUCUUCACACACAUUAGUGGUGGAAACUGCACAUUGACCUUUUCAAUGGUGUAACCAACCACAUUCCAAGAAUCACAGGGCAGAACUCUACAACACUACCCAGAAGGCAAUGGAAUCCGUAUAAUGAAGUUUUUGCUAUGGCCAGUGACCCCCUUGAAGGCUUCCAUGAAGUUAACUUGGCUUCACCCACAACUCCAGAUCUCCAGAGCCUUUCGGAGACUAGAACACCGAAGCACACUACCUCGCCCAACAUUGUCUAUCGGACUCACCCGUCGGUGAGCUCGAACCCAGGACCUCCAAAUACUUUAAAUGCAUCUGAGCUCCCCACUCAGCCAGUCUACUCUGCGCCCAGACAUCUGAACAAUGAGGAGACAGCAAAUGGAAGCAUUCCAACUUCAGAAAACCAGUUCUCUGCUCCCUGCGCUGCUCACCAAGUGGGUGGCAGUACCCAGCCGCCAGCCAGACGAGACAGUGCACGCUUGGAAGCAGACUUCUUAGAUGGCAAUGUUGGAGCCCCUGCUGCAGAUGAGGCUGAGGACGUCUUCAACCUGAGCACAGACAGCCUGUCCCAUCUUAGGAGCCCAUCUGUUAUGGAAGUAAGAGAAAAAGGUUACGAGAGGUUAAAAGAAGAGCUUGCCAAAGCACAAAGGGAACUUAAGUUAAAAGACGAAGAAUGUGAAAGACUUUCUAAAGUCAGGGACCAACUUGGGCAAGAACUGGAAGAACUCACAGCUAGCCUUUUUGAGGAAGCUCACAAAAUGGUGCGAGAAGCUAAUAUCAAGCAAGCGACAGCAGAGAAACAAUUAAAAGAAGCUCAUGGCAAGAUUGAUAUGCUGCUGGCAGAAGUGGCAGCUCUGAAAACGCUGGUGCUUUCCAGUUCCCCAACCUCCCCUACAAAGGAUAUGCCACCCACGGGCAAGGCACCUUUUAAAAAGGGACAUGCAAGGAACAAGAGUACCAGCAGCGCCAUGCUAGGGAGCAACCAGGAGCUCAGUGUCAUGCAACCCAUUGUCAAAGACUGCAAAGAGGUUGAUUUGCAGCUUUUUAAUGAAUUCAAACAGUGGCGAGAGGAGCCAACCCUUGAAAGAACAUGCUCAUUUUUAGAUCGCAUUUACAAAGAAGACAUUUAUCCCUGCUUAACCUUCUCCAAAUGUGAAUUGGCGUCGGCCAUCUUGGAGGCAGUCGAGAACAACACUCUGAGCAUAGAGCCGGUGGGCUUCCAACCGUUACCUGUUGUUAAGGCCUCAGCAGUAGAGUGUGGGGGACCAAAAAAAUGUGCACUCAGUGGUCAGGCCAAAACAUGCAAGCAUAGAAUCAAAUUUGGAGACUCCAGCAACUAUUACUAUGUGUCUCCAUUUUGUAGGUAUAGGAUUACAUCUGUCUGCAAUUUCUUCACGUACAUCCGGUAUAUUCAUCAGGGACUGGUAAAACAGCAGGAUGCCGAGCAGAUGUUCUGGGAAGUCAUGCAGCUACGGAAAGAAAUGUCGUUUGCAAAACUGGGAUAUUUUAAGGAGGAGCUGUGACGGAGUGAAGGCAACGAUGAAGAGUGUUAGUCACUAGACAUUUCUUAUUUAUUACCGAAAAACAAAAGAGAGAAAAUUACGGGGUCCAGAACACUACUAUUUUUUAAACUAAUGUUUGCACUUUUAAGUACUGUGAUCACCACAAUAACUUUGGAUUUGUUUGUGUACGCUGAAUGAAAUGUUUAUCAGAUGCAAAUACUUUACAGAUCAUGCUUUUCUUUUUGAAUUGAAAGAAAGAACAAAAAAGAAAUAAAUGAAGGAGCUCGGUUCUAAAAUACUGAAGAAAUGUGUAAUUGUUGGAGGAAAGGGAAGCACUGUCCUUUCCCAGAUUUCUGUGUAUUUUGAAAGAUCUGUAAAAUGAAAAUUGAAGUAUUUAUAGCAAUUGAAAUAUUGUUUCUAUUCCUACAGGUUAGCUGCGUAUUCUUAGACACCUAGUUCACGUAAUCGAACCUAGUGAGCCGUCGACCCUCUUCUCCUAACAGCAUGUGGUUCAAGGCAUGAAGUGGACCCACAGACCCUCCAGGCCAGCUCAUUGUCUGAUCUUAACAGUGGAAAUGAAUACGCAGACCAAUAAAUGGAGCAAACAUUCAGUACUACAAAAUUCCGAUGUUUUCAACGAAAUUGUUGCAGUCCUUGUGAGCUGAGCUUGAAGGAUUUGGUUUCAUUAAAGUAAGCCUUUUGUUUUGGUUGUGUGAAAUGAA